UUACCUUUUCGGCCUUUUGGCUAAGAUCAAGUGUAGUAUCUGUUUUUAUCAGUUUAAUAGUUUAAUAUUUGAUAUGUGAAUCAAUGGUUUACAUGAUAUUAAAUUAAUUAUUUUAAGGAAGAGUGCAUUACAAUAGCUUGCUAUUAGGGCUCUUGAGUGUCACCCAAGCAUUGCACUACAGCAUGGGCAUGGUGCGCGCAAC